rnacentral:rRNA from 1 species
CCUACGGGAGACAGCAGUGGGGAAUAUUGCACAAUGGGGGAAACCCUGAUGCAGCGACGCCGCGUGAGUGAAGAAGUAUCCCGGUACGUAAAGCUCUAUCAGCAGGGAAGAAAAUGACGGUACCUGACUAAGAAGCCCCGGCUAACUACGUGCCAGCAGCCGCGGUAAUACGUAGGGGGCAAGCGUUAUCCGGAUUUACUGGGUGUAAAGGGAGCGUAGGCGGCAGCACAAGUCUGGAGUGAAAUCCCAGGGCUUAACCCUGGAACUGCAUUGGAAACUGUGCUACUGGAGUGCAGGAGGGGUAAGCGGAAUUCCUAGUGUAGCGGUGAAAUGCGUAGAUAUUAGGAGGAACACCAGUGGCGAAGGCGGCUUACUGGACUGUAACUGACGUUGAGGCUCGAAAGCGUGGGGAGCAAACAGGAUUAGAUACCCCGGUAGUC